GAAAAGUUCUCGGCCUCACCAAGAAGGGUUGUCAGGAUACUCCUAGUUCCUGGUUAUUUUUCAACAUAGUCCCCCUUCACCUCAAUGCACUUUGUCCAGCGGUGCGCCAACAUUCCGAUGCCUUCAUGGUAGAAGGCUUCAUUUUGGUCUUUCAGGUAGGACUCUACAGCCUUAAUGAUGUCAUCAUCUGACUCAAAAGGGCGUCCACGAAUGUGGGAUUUCAGUUUGGGAAACAGGAAGAAGUCAGAUGGGGCCAGAUGUGGUGAAUAAGGUGGGUGGGGCAACAUUUCAAACCCACACUUGGUAGCUUCAGCCACUGCAACUUUUGCUGUGUGGACAGGUGCUUUUCUGAAGAAGGAUAGCAGCUUUCCGCUGUGUUUUG